rnacentral:rRNA from 1 species
UACGUAGGGACCAAGCGUUGUUCGGAUUUACUGGGCGUAAAGGGCGCGUAGGCGGCGUGGUAAGUCACUUGUGAAAUCUCUGAGCUUAACUCAGAACGGCCAAGUGAUACUGCUGUGCUAGAGUGCAGAAGGGGCAAUCGGAAUUCUUGGUGUAGCGGUGAAAUGCGUAGAUAUCAAGAGGAACACCUGAGGUGAAGACGGGUUGCUGGGCUGACACUGACGCUGAGGCGCGAAAGCCAGGGAGCAAACGGG